rnacentral:rRNA from 1 species
GGAUCCUACGGGGCGCAGCAGUAGGGAAUAUUGCUCAAUGGGGGAAACCCUGAAGCAGCAACGCCGCGUGAGUGAAGAAGGUUUUCGGAUCGUAAAGCUCUGUUGUAAGAGAAGAACGUGUGUGAGAGUGGAAAGUUCACACAGUGACGGUAACUUACCAGAAAGGGACGGCUAACUACGUGCCAGCAGCCGCGGUAAUACGUAGGUCCCGAGCGUUAUCCGGAUUUAUUGGGCGUAAAGCGAGCGCAGGCGGUUGGAUAAGUCUGAAGUUAAAGGCUGUGGCUCAACCAUAGUAUGCUUUGGAA